rnacentral:lncRNA from 1 species
UUUUUUCUUCUUUGUUUUGACAUAUAUUUGAAGUAUAUUGAUUAUGUAGCUUGAUUGUUUGUAAAGUUGAAGUCUUUGAUCUUUUGUUCUUCGUAAAUUUGUGAGUUUGUUCAUAAAUUGAUGAUUUUUUUCAUAAAAUUUGUGGCAAAAUAACUUUUCGAUUCCUAAUUAAAUAAUAACACGACUUGCUCUAUUAUUGAUUGUUCUUCAGUUUAUUAGCAUGUUAUUGAAAAUGGCAUUUUGCUUGUUGCUUAUAAAAUUUUGAGAAUCAGCUUUUUUCUUCAUUUCGUUUCAGCAAUUUAUUGCAGAAAGGUUGCUGAUUUUGAUACUAUCAUUUUCGUUCUCUGUUUAUAUUGUGGAAAGCUUGCUAAAUUCGUGGCCAAUUUCGAAGCUAAAUGAUGGUAGAAGAAAUUAUCCUCAUUUUAUUGAAUUUGUAUUUGCAAGAGGGUAGUAAAAGAAUCUUAGUGAAAUACAAUUAAGUUGGUGCUUUGUUUGCAAUGUACUGAUGUUCAUAAGUUCCAUGUGGGAUUUCAUAAUUCCCGUUGGAUUCAUGUGGGUUUAUUUGUUUCUUCAACAGUUGUUGACUAGAAUGAGAGGAAGAAAUUUCGAAGUUUGUCAUGGCUGUAGAAGUAACACUCACUACUUUGGACAAUGCAAAACAAAACGUGGAUGCCCUUCAUGUAAACGUGGAUUUCGAAAAUGUUUUGAUAUAGAACGGAAUACUGAAAACAAAAGGGCGUUUAUUCUUCACGUGUAGUAACGACUAUGAAUAUUUCAAUUUGGUGAAAAAUCAAGAUUUAAGUGGAGAGUUGAGUGCCGUUGAUGAAGAGGUGAAUCAUGAGCCCAACGAGGAAUGUGAAGACUUGCCAAGAAUCUUCGACAACUUAGCUCGAAUUAUUGAGAAACGAGACGUCGAUAUAACAUUGUACGUAACAUUUCGCGAAGGAAAGGGAAUUGUAGAAUGUGAUGGGAAGGGGAAGGGACCGACUUGAACGGGUGAUAUCAAUUUGUAUUUGUUAUAUGCUUUGUUUGUACCGCAGUAACUUCUUUGUCAUAGUAGGCUUCAAUGUUCAAUGCUUAAUUUUGGCAACGCCGUUUGAGCAUUAGACAUAAGUUUGAUAUU